rnacentral:rRNA from 1 species
ACUAGGAUUAGAUACCCUAUUAUUAAGAAAAAUUAUAUUGUUAGUAUAUAAAUUGUAUGAAAACAAAAAAUUAUGGCGGUAUUUUAAGCUUUUCAGAGGAAUUUGCUCUUUAAUGGAUAAAACACCUAAAUCUUACUAAAUUUAGUUAAACAGUUUGUAUACCACUAUUUAAGUAAUAAUUUGCUAUUAUUACUAAAAUUUAUAUUAAUUAAAAAAAGUUAAGUCAAGGUGCAGCAUAAAUUUUAGUAUGAAGUGAAUUACAUUUCUUUUAAGAAAAUUUUGUUGAAAAUAAAAUUUAGGAUUUGAAAGUAAAAUUUUAAUAGAAGGAAAAUUUGAAUUAAGCUCUAAAAUAUGUACACAUCGCCC